rnacentral:rRNA from 1 species
UACGAAGGGGGCUAGCGUUGCUCGGAAUUACUGGGCGUAAAGCGCGCGUAGGCGGCUUUGUAAGUUAGAGGUGAAAGCCCGGGGCUCAACUCCGGAACUGCCUUUAAGACUGCAUCGCUUGAAUCCGGGAGAGGUGAGUGGAAUUCCGAGUGUAGAGGUGAAAUUCGUAGAUAUUCGCAAGAACACCAGUGGCGAAGGCGGCUCACUGGCCCGGUACUGACGCUGAGGUGCGAAAGCGUGGGGAGCAAACAGG